GCCAGGCAUGGUGGUACACACCUGUAAUCCCAGCUACUCGGGAGGCUGACUCAGGAGGAUCACAAGUUCCAGGCCAGCCUGGGCAACUUAGUGAGACCCUGUCUCAA
rnacentral:sRNA from 1 species